rnacentral:rRNA from 1 species
GAUGAACGCUGGCGGCGUGCUUAACACAUGCAAGUCGAACGGGAUCCAAGGGGUGCUUGCACUUUUUGGUGAGAGUGGCGAACGGGUGAGUAACACGUGAGUAACCUGUCCUUUUCUUUGGGAUAAGCAUUCGAAAGGGUGUUUAAUACCUUAUGUUCUGUCUGCCUCGCAUGGGGUGGGUGGGAAAGGCUUUGGCCGGAUUUGGGUGGGCUCGCGGUCUAUCAGCUCGUUGGUGGGGUGAUGGCUUACCAAGGCUUUGACGGGUAGCCGGCCUGAGAGGGUGGUCGGUCACAUUGGGACUGAGAUACGGCCCAGACUCCUGCGGGAGGCAGCAGUGGGGGAUAUUGCACAAUGGGCGAAAGCCUGAUGCAGCGACGCCGCGUGGGGGAUGAAGGCCUUCGGGUUGUAAACUUCUUUUGCUCUGAACAAGGCAUGCCAGUGGGUGUGUUGAGUGUAGGGGUUGAUUAGCGCCGGCUAACUACGUG